UUAAAAAUCAGGCCUAUUAGUUAAUAUAAAAUAUUGUAACUCACUCGGUGACACAUCCACUCAUUCUCUCUAUCCCCACCAAAAACUUAGCAAUGAAUUUAAUCCGAAUUCACAAUUCUCUUUAUCUUAUCUGAUCCGAAUUCUUCAGACUUCGGAGCGAUCAUGUGGAAGCUGAAUAUCGUCGAAGGAGGUAGUCCAUGGCUGCGACCCACCAAUAACCACGUCAGACGACACUUUUGGGAGUUUGAUCCGAGUCUCUGUACGCCUGAAGAGCUCGACGCCGUCAAGGAAGCUAGGAAAUAGCUUUCAGGUAUUGGAGGGAGAAGAUCUUUGAAAUAGUCAAUUGAAAUUGAUUGUCUUGAAUAAUUAAAUGAAAGUAGAUAUCUAAGAAUUUUAAUUUUGGAAAGCAAUAAUUCGUUAAUAGGAAUUAAUUGAAUUGUGGCUAGGUUGCUUCUAAAAAUGGUUUAGUUAGAGGUUUUAUAUAGAGAGAGUAUUUAUUAUCUAUAUUAACAUUUUUGAAGUACAUUUUGGUUUA